AACGAACGCUGGCGGCAGGCUUAACACAUGCAAGUCGAACGGACGUAGCAAUACGUUAGUGGCAGACGGGUGAGUAACGCGUGGGAAUGUGCCCUUUAGUUCGGAAUAACACAGAGAAAUUUGUGCUAAUACCGGAUAAUCCCGAGAGGGGAAAGAUUUAUCGCUGAAGGAGCAGCCCGCGUCUGAUUAGCUAGUUGGUGAGGUAAUGGCUCACCAAGGCGACGAUCAGUAGCUGGUCUGAGAGGAUGAUCAGCCACACUGGGACUGAGACACGGCCCAGACUCCUACGGGAGGCAGCAGUGGGGAAUAUUGGACAAUGGGGGCAACCCUGAUCCAGCCAUGCCGCGUGAGUGAUGAAGGCCUUAGGGUUGUAAAACUCUUUUGUCCGGGAAGAUAAUGACUGUACCGGAAGAAUAAGCCCCGGCUAACUUCGUG
rnacentral:rRNA from 1 species